GACGAACGCUGGCGGCGUGCCUAAUACAUGCAAGUCGAGCGAUGAUUAAAGAUAGCUUGCUAUUUUUAUGAAGAGCGGCGAACGGGUGAGUAACGCGUGGGAAAUCUGCCGAGUAGCGGGGGACAACGUUUGGAAACGAACGCUAAUACCGCAUAACAAUGAGAAUCGCAUGAUUCUUAUUUAAAAGAAGCAAUUGCUUCACUACUUGAUGAUCCCGCGUUGUAUUAGCUAGUUGGUAGUGUAAAGGACUACCAAGGCGAUGAUACAUAGCCGACCGGAGAGGGUGAUCGGCCACACUGGGACUGAGACACGGCCCAGACUCCUACGGGAGGCAGCAGUAGGGAAUCUUCGGCAAUGGGGGCAACCCUGACCGAGCAACGCCGCGUGAGUGAAGAAGGUUUUCGGAUCGUAAAACUCUGUUGUUAGAGAAGAACGUUAAGUAGAGUGGAAAAUUACUUAAGUGACGGUAUCUAACCAGAAAGGGACGGCUAACUACGUGCCAGCAGCCGCAGUAA
rnacentral:rRNA from 1 species